rnacentral:lncRNA from 1 species
GAAAUGGAGGGAAAAAAGUUGGGAAAAGGGGGAAAAAAGUCCUGGGAAAGGGGGGAAAAAUUCGGGAAAACGGGGGGAAAAAUUUCUGGGAAAGGGGGGAAAAAUAUUGGGAAAAGGGGGGGGAAAAAUUCUGGGAAAAGGGGAAAAAAAUCUUGGAAGGGGGCGAAAUCCUGGGAAAGGAAGGAAAAUAUCGGGAAUGGUGGGAAAAAUUCUGAGGGAAAAAUCCUGGGAAGGAGAGGGGGAAAUAUUGUGGGAAAAGGGAGGCAGGAAAGGGUUAAAAAUGCUGGGAAAGGGGGGAAAAAUCCAGGGAAAAAUCCAGGGAAAAAUCCAGGGAAAAAUCCAGGGAAGGAGGGGAAAAGGUGAUGGGAAAAGGGGGGGAAAUAUCCCGGGAAAAGGGAGGGAAAAUCUUGAGAAAGGGAGGGAAAAAUCCUUGGAAAAUUUUGGAAAAGGGAGGGAAAAUCUUGGAAAAGGGGAGGGAAAAUCCUUGGAAAAUCUUGGAAAAGGGAGGGAAAACCUUAGAAAAGGGAGGGAAAAAUCCUUGGAAAAUCUUGGAAAAGGGAGGGAAAAAUCCUUGGAAAAUCCUGGGAAAAGGGAGGGAAAAUCCUGGAAAAGGGAGGAAAAAAUCUUGGAAAAGGGGAGGGAAAAAUCCUUGGAAAAGGGGAGGGAAAAUCCUUGGAAAAUCCCGGGAAAAGGGGAGGGAAAAAUCUUGGAAAAGGGGAGGGAAAAGAGAUGCAAAAAGGAUGGAAAAGAGGCUGGAAAACCCUUGGAAAAAAAAGAGAAUUCCCGUUGUUUUCCCCUUCCCAAAAUCCCAACCAAUCCCAGGGCAGGGAAAGGGAAAAAAGAGGGAAAAAAAAUUCCGGGAAAAGUUUGGCAAAGAAGGAUUUUCCUGGAUUUUCCAGGUGAGAUUCCAGGAACUGGGGUUGGAUUCCAGGAAUUUCAGGAAGGAAAUUCCCAAUUAAAACGAGAAUUCCAUGAAAAUUCCAAUGGAAAAAAAAAAAUAAUGAGAAAUUUGGGAAAAUUCCAGCUUUUCCCACAUCCCGGAAUUCCAAUCCCAGUUUUUUUCCCCGCUCAGCUCCGGGGAAUUUUUGGGAAUCAAAAUUCCAAAGAGCAAAAAAUUGGGGAUGAGAAAAUUCCCAAAG